GACGAACGCUGGCGGCGUGCCUAAUACAUUGCAAGUCGAGCGAAGUUUUUCUGGUGCUUGCACUAGAAAAACUUAGCGGCGAACGGGUGAGUAACACGUAAAGAACCUGCCUCAUAGACUGGGACAACUAUUGGAAACGAUAGCUAAUACCGGAUAACAGUAUUUCUCGCAUGAGAGAUAUUUAAAAGUUGGUUAUGCUAACACUAUGAGAUGGCUUUGCGGUGCAUUAGCUAGUUGGUGGGGUAAAGGCCCACCAAGGCGACGAUGCAUAGCCGACCUGAGAGGGUGAUCGGCCACACUGGGACUGAGACACGGCCCAGACUCCUACGGGAGGCAGCAGUAGGGAAUCUUCCGCAAUGGGCGAAAGCCUGACGGAGCAACGCCGCGUGAGUGAAGAAGGAUUUCGGUUCGUAAAGCUCUGUUGUUAGGGAAGAAUGGAUAUGUAGUAACUAUACAUAUAAGAGACG
rnacentral:rRNA from 1 species